UACGUAGGGGUGCGAGCGUUUGUCCGGAAUUACUGGGCGUAAAAGAGCUCGUAGGCGGUUUGUCGCGUCGUCCGUGAAAACUUGGGGCUCAACCCCCAAGCUUGCGGGCGAUACGGGCAGACUUGAGUACUGCAGGGGAGACUGGAAUUCCUGGUGUAGCGGUGAAAUGCGCAGAUAUCAGGAGGAACACCGGUGGCGAAGGCGGGUCUCUGGGCAGUAACUGACGCUGAGGAGCGAAAGCGUGGGUAGCAAACAGG
rnacentral:rRNA from 1 species